GUGAGCCUACGGGAGGCAGCAGUGAGGAAUAUUGGUCAAUGGGCGGGAGCCUGAACCAGCCAAGUCGCGUGAGGGAAGACGGUCCUAUGGAUUGUAAAGCUCUGUUAGCAGGGAAGAGGAAGGACGGUACCUGCAGAGGAAGCCACGGCUAACUACGUGCCAGCAGCCGCGGUAAUACGUAGGUGGCAAGCGUUGUUCGGAAUAACUGGGCGUAAAGGAUGCGUAGGCGGUUAAACAAGUUAUAUGUUAAAUAUAUAGGCUUAACCUGUAGAAAGCAUAUAAAACUGUUUAACUAGAGUGCAGGA
rnacentral:rRNA from 1 species